rnacentral:rRNA from 1 species
GUCCUCCGCAUUGGCACGUCCAUCUCUGUUGGCUCCGGGUCCUCGACCCUGUUCUGGUUCGACCGGUGGCUAGGGGACUCCCCCCUGGCUGUGCGAUUCCCAGGACUCUUUGCCAUUGCGGCCGACCCUCGGGUCUCAGUCGAGACGGCCCUUAUUGACUUAGGGCGUCUUGCUUUUCGUCGUCCCUUCGGCCCCCUCGAGGUGGCUGCUUGGGAGUCCCUCCUCCAAGACGUCGCCCUUAUGCCGAUGAACGUCGAGGAGGACCAGGAUGCCAUUUCCUGGCGCCUUGAGCCGUCUGGCCGCUUCUCCACGAAGUCCUUGUACGCUGCCAUCGCGCCCUCGACGGCCUCGGAACCCUUUAGCCUGAUCUGGGACAUCCGCCUACCUAUGAAGAUCAGGAUCUUCCUGUGGCAAUGGAUCCGUGGA